UUUUAUUCUCGGCGGUACUCGACACGGAGCAACUCCUCGUUGUCCAAAAUCCCCGGAGAAAGAGGGAGAGAGUCAGAGGCGGAGCAGCCGCGGAGAAGCGGCGGCGCUAGCAAGCUAUGGAGUACCGCAACAAGUUGGUGCUCGCGCCCAUGGUCCGCGUGGGUACUCUGCCGUUCAGGCUACUGGCUGCUGAGUAUGGCGCUGAUAUUACAUACGGAGAAGAAAUUGUAGAUCAUAAGUUUUUGAAGUGUGAACGUGUUGCAAAUGAAUCUCUUGGGACUACUGAUUUUUUGGAGAGAGGGACUGAUAAUUUAGUUUUCCGAACGUGCCCACAAGAAAGGGACAGGGUUGUAUUUCAAAUGGGGACAUCAGAUGCCGUGAGGGCACUUAAAGCUGCUCAGAUUGUGUGUAAUGAUGUUGCAGCUAUAGAUAUCAACAUGGGUUGCCCAAAGUCUUUCUCUGUCAGUGGAGGAAUGGGUGCUGCAUUACUCUCCAAACCUGAGCUUAUACACGAUAUUUUGACCACACUGCGAAGGAACUUGGACACAACCUUGACAUGUAAAAUCCGUCUUCUGAACACACGUCAGGACACUGUGGAGUUGGCACGACGGAUUGAGAAAACCGGUGUUCCAGCUCUGGCUGUCCAUGGAAGAAAGGUCAAAGACAGGCCAAGAGAUCCCUCUAAGUGGGAUGAGAUUGCCGAUGUUGUGUCCGCAUUGUCAAUUCCAGUUAUAGCUAAUGGGGAUGUUUUUGAGUACGAUGAUUUUAAGAGAAUCAAAGAUGCCACAGGUGCCACGUCUGUAAUGGCUGCUAGAGGUGCCCUGUGGAAUGCAUCUAUUUUUUGUGCCAAAGGGACAACACCUUGGGAGGAGGUCAAAAGAGAGUACAUAAGAAAGAGUAUUUUGUGGGACAAUGAUGUGAAGAGCACAAAACAUACAUUAAAAGAAAUGAUAAUGCGCUAUUCUUGCCUUGAACUCGCUGAAGGGAAAGGUGUGAUAAAGUGUGAUUCAUCAGCAGAUAUAGCGAAACUUUACAAGGAAGAGGACUACUAUAAUUUUGUUGUUUCAAACAGGAAAUGAACAAAACUUGGUUUUGCUAACCCUUCAUGCGACCCAGUGGAGUUUUGGAGAAUUUCAUCAUAUCACCAGCCAAUACGAGCUGGGGAGAAACUUCGAAUGCCUUAUAUGUUUUGGCUCCUUUUCAAGUAUUCCAUGAAUGUCUUUUUGGCCUGACGUUUGCCGCAGUUGUACACAGUAGAAUGCCUUCAGUCACCUGGUUGCUUUGACUGUACCAAUGGUCGGCUUACCUCCUGCGUUCUGGAUUCUGGAAGCACAAAAUCUGCGUCAUCCAUGACGUCAGAGAUAUCAUCGACAAUGGUAUUUCUUGUGAAAGGACUUGUUGCUAUAUACACUGGAGUUUCAGUCUUUCACGGUAUCUCACUCAGCUUUCUGUAACCAAAGACUUGUUGGACUAGACCCCUACGGCCUACGCUAUGUUGAACGAUAUUCCCAUCCAGAACUAAUGUUUUGAAUCUGAACAGACAAAAACCAAUUUCCCCUCCAAUCUACAGUGUAGGUCCUUCUUUAGCAUUUUCAGUCCUACAGCCACAGUGUAUUUUCGCUCAUUUUCCUAUUUAUCCUCGUUGUUUCAUCAAGAACUAAAUUAUGCAAAAUAAGUUGUAGAAAGAAUUAAGAA